rnacentral:rRNA from 1 species
GAUGAACGCUGGCGGCAGGCCUAACACAUGCAAGUCGAACGAGUGGCGGACGGGUGAGUAAUGUCUGGGAAACUGCCCGAUGGCGGGGGAUAACUACUGGAAACGGUAGCUAAUACCGCAUACCAUCGGAUGUGCCCAGAUUGGAUUAGCUAGUGGGUGUGGUAAAGGAUCCACUAGGCGACGAUCCCUAGCUGGUCUGAGAGGAUGACCAGCCACACUGGAACUGAGACACGGUCCAGAUUCCUCCGGGAGGCAUCAGUGGGUAAUUUUGCACAAUGGGCGAAAGCCGUAUGCAGCCAUGCCGCGUGUAUGAUGAAGGCCUUCGGGUUGUAAAGUACUUUCAGCGAGGAGGCGGUACUCGCAGAAGAAGCACCGGCUAACUCCGUGCCAGCAGCCGCGGUAAUAC